rnacentral:misc_RNA from 1 species
AAGUCGUAACAAGGUUUCCGUAGGUGAACCUGCGGAAGGAUCAUUCAUAAUAAGUGUUCUACUGCACUUUUUAAACAAGUACUCACCUUGUGUGCAAUGUUUGCUGGCGUGUCGUUCAUUCGUCGCGUCGGCAUAAUACCAACCUUUUUUGAUUUUAAUCUUUUGUCUUAAGCUAUUUUGAAUAACAUAAUUCUUAAUACAA